CAAAGUUGAGCACGUGAAGCUUGCAGCUCCCACUACAUCGCUCUGACCAAGAAAGGUAAAAGAAUAGCAAAGAAACAGCACUAACAAAGUUUAGACACAUAAAUUUUGAAGGUCUAGCUACCAUAUUAUUACCCACAAGGGUAAAGGAACAGUACCACUGCUGGAUAAUUGGAAAGUCCCUGUGUGUCAACCUCUGUGCUUCGUGGCAAGGUAGACUAGCAAACAUGCCCAACCUUUACUCACAUUCGAGAAAACACUCCCAACAAGAUUGCUUGCUCCAAAAUCGAAGAGGCACCGUCCUCCGAAUCUCGAGAGCCAGACUCCCAACAUGACUACUUUCUCAAAAUCGAAGAGAGGGUAAAGGAACAGUACCAUUGCUGGAUAAUUGGAAAGUCCCUGUGUGUCAACCUUUGUGCUUCGUGGCAAGGUAGACUAGCAAACAUGCCCAACCUUUACUCACAUUCGAGACAACACUCCCAACAAGAUUGCUUGCUCCAAAAUCGAAGAGGCACCGCCUUCCGAAUCUCGAGAGCCAGACUCCCAACAUGAUUACUUCCUCAAAAAUCGAAGAGACACUGCUCUCCGAAUCUCGAGAGUCAGACCCCCAGCAUGAUUGCUUUCUCAAAAAUCGAAGAGGCAUCGUUCUCCGAAUCUCGAGAGCCAGAUACCACAGACCACUUUUUCAAAGUGCUCUGACAGAGUUAAAACAUGUGAAACUGGCAGCUCCCACUACCGUGCUAUGACCAAGCAGGGUAAAGGAAUAGCAUUACUACUUGUUGUUAGGGAGACUCCUAUAUAUGUCGACCUCCAUCCCCAACGGACAGGCAGACCUGCAAAAAUGCUCAACCCUUCAUCAUAUCUGAGAGGGCACUCCCAACGAAGCCUUUCGAAAUAUUCAGCUUUCUUUCCCCCCGAUAAUACCUCUGCAAACAAGCUAUACUAGAGCAAGAAUAUCUCAUAUCAUCAGGGUUAAAAGCAAGAGUAUCCCAUAUCAUGCUUUUUCCCUGUCUUUUCCUUUUGGCCUUGUUUUUACCUGCAAGACAAGGAGAAAGAGAGCAAUCAGUCAGCACUUGGAAUCAAGCUUCCAGCCAGGAACUGACUGCCUGGAACCCCUUACCUGAUUACUUACCUGGCAUUGCUCUCGAGUACUCAUCUUCAACAUCUUAUGUUUCCAGGGAAGAUUCCGCAUCUGCUUGAGGAACAGAUAGGGCAAGUGCGAAGGAUACAAGGAAGCAUGUGGAGACAAGCGUAACAGCACACGUGCCGAUACAUCCAUUACUCUGUCAAAAGCAAAAGUAUCCCAUAUCAGCAGGGUGGAACGUACUCUAGAUUUGAUGGACUUGUUUUGACCCUCAAAUUCUUCAGUCGGCCUUAUACUCUGGAGGAAACCAGAAAACCCUCCAGCUCAGUUCAAGAAUAAGCCUGUGGAAAGUUACUUCUUCAAAAGCAAAAGUAUCUCAUAUCAUCUCUUCUCAUUUUUCUUCUCUUUAUCCUUCAUGCUGCUGCAAGAUGGGGAGAAGGUGAACAAUCAGUCGGAGCUCUGAUUGCUUACCUUGUCUGUCACCUCUUUCAGCAGACCCCCUAGCUCGGCGACUUGGGGGACUCCUACUACAUGGUUUGUAUCGCGCUUGACCAAGCCUGAAACUACAAGUAAGCUUCAAGUGAAAUUGAUACAUUACCUUGUGCAUCUCCACCAGUUAAAGAUACCACCCCUGGAUGGAGGAAGAGUACUUCCAGAGAAGAUGCCACAUCUACCUAUGAGACAGAUAAGGCAAGUCAAGACGACACCACACUCCGAUACUUAGAAGUUUCGUGAUUACGAGAUCAUUCUCCCACAAUAUUUCCUAAUGUCAUUUGUACUAAAUCAUUCACUUGUACUCACUAAAGGAGAGCUUGAACCUAUGUACUUGUGUAAACCCUUCACAAUUAAUGAGAACUCUUCUAUUCCGUGGACGUAGCCAAUCUGGGUGAACCACGUACAUCUUGUGUUUGCUUUCCUAUCUCUAUCCAUUUAUAUACUUAUCCACACUAAUGACCGGAGCAAUCUAGCGAAGAUCACAAAAAGCGACCGUUUUCGCUACCUAGGAUCUAUCUUGCAAGAGAACGGAGAAUUAGAUGGAGAUCUCAACCAUAGAAUACGAGCUGGAUGGAAAGAGUGCAUCCGGCGUGUUGUGUGACCGUCGUAGGCCACUGAAGCUCAAGGGAAAAAUUUUAUAGGACGGCAAUAAGGCCAGCGAUGUUGUAUGGCACAGAAUGUUGGGUGGUGAAGCAUCAACACGUACACAAAAUGGGUGUAGCGGAGAUGAGGAUGCUUCGUGGGAUGUGUGGGCACACGAGAAAGGAUAAGAUUGGGAAUGAGGAUAUCCGAGGUAAAGUAGGAGUAGCCGAAAUUGUAGGAAAGAUGAGAGAAAAUCGGCUCUGGUGAUUUGGACAUGUGCAAAGAAGGCCGACUGACGCUCCGGUUCGAAGAUGUGACUACGGGACAGAGGUUCAGGGCCGAAGGGGUAGAGGAAGACCUAGGAAAACUUUGGAAGAGACUCUAAGAAAAGACUUAGAGUACUUGGAUCUAACGGAGGGCAUGACACAAAACCGAGCGCAAUGGCGUUCUAGGAUUCAUAUAGCCGACCCCACUUAGUGGGAAAAGGCUUUGUUGUUGUUGUUGUUGUUGUUUGCAUAACAAAAAAAAAAUUGUGAUCGAAAAAACAUAUCUGGAACAAGAGAAAAUAUUGGUUAAUUACUACUAUCUCCACUAAAUAAGAAAAAGUGCAUCAUGAAGAUAAAAUGAUAAAUUCAAAAAGCACAAAUGUUAUACAAAAAUUGUAGAGAAUUCUAAUUUUCUCAAAAAAAAAAAAAAAAAAAAAAAAAAAGAGGAAGACCCAAUUCAAGUCCUUCUGCUGCACCAUGUGCCUGCGUGGCGUGGUCCAAUUGGACGGAGAUCAAAUGAGACUCGCUGUCGAGUCCCUUGACGCACCACUCCUCUGCUGUUGUCUUGGUACCGCUUGUUCGUGUCCCAAACUCGAAACCUUGUCUCUCACACGAAUUCAAGCACUCACCUUUCGAGGUUUCGAUCCAUUUAUCAGGUAAUUUUUUCAUCAACUAAAACCUUAAUUUUGUUUCAAUCUCUGUAUAUGUAUGUCUGCAUCAGAAUCUAAUCUGCAUUAUUCCCUUUAAUUAGGACGAAUUGAAUUCACGGACUGGAUAAUCGGAACCGAAAGCCCCAUUUGUGGAUUCGAAUCGAGAUUGGAAUUUGCUCAAUUCGAGCGCUGGUUUGUCCAUGCUGGCAUUUAUUGUUCUUGUUUUCGAGUUUUGGGAAUUGGGUUUGUUGAAUUGUUGAAUUAGCAGUAGGUUUUUGACAAUGGAAGGUAAUAAGGAUGAAGCUUUAAGGUGUGUUCGGAUCGCCGAAGAAGCAAUUGCUUCCGGCAACAAAGGGCGUGCCUUGAAAUUUAUUAAGAUUGCACAACGGCUUAAUCAUAAUUUGCAAGUUGAUGAACUUUUGGCUGCGUGUGAGGCAAUUAAUUCGGGGUCUUCCGCGUCUUCUGUUGAUGAGAAGGGUGCUGGUGAGAUUAGGAAUGAGCCGGGCGUGGAGAAAUUGGGCUGCGGUUUGAAUGGGGAGGUUAGUUAUACCGAAGAGCAUGUUCAGUUGGUUAGGAAGAUUAAGAGAAACAAAGACUAUUACGGAAUUCUUGGCGUGGAGAAGACUUGCUCGGUCGAGGACAUUAGGAAGGCUUAUAGGAAGUUGUCAUUGAAGGUUCAUCCUGAUAAGAACAAGGCUCCCGGUUCAGAAGAAGCGUUUAAGAUAGUAAGCAAGGCUUUCAAGUGUUUGAGUGAUGGGGACUCUAGGAGGCAGUAUGAUCAGACUGGAUUAGUUGAUGAAUUUGAGUACAACCAGCAGCACAAUAAUACGAGGAGAAGGAGGAGGAGAGGUGGGAAUGACUUUUUUGACGAUGAUUUUGACCCCGAUGACAUAUUCAGGGCGUUCUUUGGUCAAUCAGACAUGUUUCGGUCAAGUCAUGUUUAUAGGACUAGUAGAACAGCUGGUCAUCAGAGGGAGGAGUCUCAGGGAGGGGGACCUAACAUCAUGCUUCUUCUUCAAAUAAUACCUUUUUUGGUAAUUUUGUUGUUGGCAUAUCUGCCCUUUUCAGAGCCCGUCUACUCUUUGCAGAAGAAUUAUAACUACCAGAUUCCCAAGACGACAGAGAAAUAUGGAGUGGAAUUUUUUGUUAAAUCGCAAGCAUUUGAUGAGAGUUAUCCCAUUGGAAGUGCUGGUCGAGUUAACGUUGAGAGCAGUGUUAUCAAGGAUUACAAAAAUGUGCUUGCACACUACUGUCGGGUUGAGCUUCAAAGGCGCCACUGGAGUAAGAAUCUGCCUACUCCUCACUGCGACAAACUAAAUAAGCUUGGAGUAGCAUGAAGGUAAGCUGUGAUAUUUUCUUUUUCAAAAAAUAGAGAUCUGUAACUUUUACUUGUUCGUUGUGUCAAAUGGUGCCAAUGUUUUCUGUUCAUUGUGUCCUUGAUUAGAACGUGUCUUCCACUUUCCUAACCUUAGCUUUUCCUAACCUAUUGUAUGAAUUGCGUGAUCCUGUACGGGAGUUUAAUGUUGCUCUUUCCUUUUGGUGCUAUGUGUGUUUUCAGCACAAAUUCAUAUUCAGCACAAGUUACUGACCCCUACUUAUUUCUCAGCAACUGUAAAGUUGUCAAAUUUAAGUCCUUUGAAGCAUAAGUUGUGGACAAUACCUAAGUUGCAGGGCCAAACACGAAAAGCAGUUUUCCGUGUUUGAGUACUCUUUGAGUGCUUUCAUUUUAGUGUAGAACUGUAUAUGCUUCCCAGCCUUGUUUCUACCCCUGGCCAAAAAAGUUAAUUUGAAUCCAUGUGUCCUGUUUCUUUGUUGGUUGGUAAUAUGGUAUCAUAUUUCAAGUUAACCAUUUUAACGACAUUCCGUAUUUUGACUUUUUAUCGAGCAGAGGCUAUAUGGCUGAAGUGGAUGUUUAGUGCCACUAUGUUGAGCCUGGACUUCAAAGUACAGUGGGUUGAUAUUGUAAAUGCUCCAGUCGACUUCUUUGGAAGUAACCAAGGAUUGCUUAUCCUCUCCAAUAUGACUGGCUGGCCAUACAGCUGUUCGGGAAUGUCAUCCAGGAUAGUGGUAGCGAGGGUUUUCAGCACCCUAAUGGGAUAUCAUUUGGCUAGAAAUAAUAGUGUACACAACUCUUGAAAUUACCUGGGAGGUCAAUACUAGUUACGAAAGUUUAUGAAAAGUUGAGCAAGAGGUUUGUGAUAGUGAUUAUUUUCGCUUUAUAACACUACAUUUUCUAUGUAUUCUUUUUAUCAGACUAUACGGUUGCUGUUUACAGUUUUGUUUUAUUUGGUUCAGAUAUUAAGCAUGCAUAUAUGCAAGUAGCGAGCCGUGCAGCUUAAGCAUCAGCCCUUAUCGUUCGUUAUUUGUUGUUUCGAAGAAUUUAUAUCGUUUCUUAGCUGACUGUUAAGCAUAUCUUGUCCUUGACCAAUGCAUAUAGUAUGGAGGAAACUAUGUUGCUUUGAUUUAGCUCUAUUGUCUUAUGCCAGUGUCUUGAUUUUCAAUAGAGUUGUUAGAGAACAGUUUAAUCCUCAGUGUUGCAGACAAGUCCUCGUCCUCCAAGGAUACAUGUGAUGUAUAGCGCAAGAGUCUGCUUGCCUCGGAGUCGUUCAGGGUAUCGAAACAGAAGGACACUGGUGUCCUAUGGAUGAGUUAAAGAACAUCUCUGAUGGGAAUGUAGGAUAUCUUUACAGUUUUAGUUCUGAAUGAAAAUGCAUGGUUGCUCCUGUUCAUUGCAACUUCAUGAGAUGUUCAAUAUCAGAAAUUGAGAUACCUCCCUAACUGACUUCUUUUACUGUGCUCGGGUCAUCCGUCUAAGUAGGGGCGGACGCACGUUAAGGCAAGAAAGGGCAGCUUCCGGUUCGGAGGCCGAAGUUCGACCAUUCAUUCGAUUAAGGGUCUUUGGGUCUGAAUUUCUAUCACAUGCCUUUGUAAUGUUUAUAUGAUACAUUCCUAAUCUUUCACAUAUAACAUUUUGUGAGCUGUUCAUUAUUAACACGACAUCAAUCCCUUGGCACUUGAAAAUUUGUCACUCAAAUAUGUCAUCGACAUAACGCAAAAGGGGAAGCGAGCCAUGAGGAGUGAGAGGUGGCAUUGCCCUCGGGGGCGGCUGUUCUUUAUGUUUUUUUCAGUUAAAAAAAAAAAAAGGUUUUAUGAUUAAGCCACGUGUCACCAUUUGAUUAGAUAAGUGGAUUCACUUGUGUGUCACAUCAGCACUCUAACAAAACAAAAUUGACAUAAGGUUAAGAGAAGGACCAGAAUAAUUUGGAGUCAUUUUUCAAGACCAAAUUGAUGAAUUCCCUAUUUCAAAGACUAUUUUAAUUGGAAUGGUCAAUUUUAGAGACCAACUGUAAAACUCACUUAAUUAUAAUUGGGUUUUUAUCACAAAUAGUCUUUGAAAUUGACUCUCACUAUUAAGAUGGUCCCUGAAAUUGAAAACCAAUCAAUGUAGUCCUUGAAAAUAUGUGUCGCAAAUCAAUAUGGUCAUUUUUUCACAAUUUUGUUAAAAAUUCCAUUAAGUGUUGGUCUAGCAUAUAAAUGAGUCCCAUAAGUCCUUUUUUCUCACAAAUGGUCAUUGAAAUUGACAUGUGAUAUCAAAAUAGUCCUUGAAAUUGACUUGUGACAUCAAAUGGUCAUUGAAAUUGAAAAUCAAUCAAUGUAUUCCCUCAAGUAAUUGUCCCAAAUCAAUUUAGUUAUUACGUCACAAUUAUGUAAAAAAUUCUAUUAUGUGCUGAUGUGACACAUAAAUGGAUCACACAAGUCUAAUUAAAUUAAAUAAAAAUUACAAAUAUGUUUAAUAAUUUAAUAGUUAAUAAAAAGUUAUGAACCAAAAAACCCAGUCCUGCAAUCACCUCCGAUCCUAGUCCACAUUUCUCUAACUUCUUCAUUGUCUAUUCUCUAAAAAAAAUCUCAAUACACUCAUCUUUACACAUUUCGACACCCUUCACCGAAUUGAAUCUAGAUCGAGAUCACCAUUGGUGAGGGUCAAUUUCAUUGUGCAACCUAGAUCGACACACUUUGACACUCUAUUCGGAGUAGGUCCUACUAUAAGAAAAAAAAUUCUAUUGUGCAAAAAGGUAUUUGGACAGCUCUUUUAAUUUUUUAUUAAAUCUACAUCAACACAUAACAAAUUUUUUUAUAGAAUUGUGGCGGAAUGAUUAUAUUGAUUUGCGACACAUAUUUUCAAGGACUACAUUAAUCGAUUUUUAAUUUAGUGACCAUCUUGAUGGCGUGGGUUAAUUUCAGGGACUAUCUUGAUGGUGUGAGUCAAUUUCAGAGACCAUUUGUGAUUAAAAAAAAAAAACCUGUAAAUCUUGUGGGGCCCAUUUAUGUGCUACUUCAGCACUUAACAUAAUUUUUAAUAGCAAUGUGAAGGAAUAACCAUAUUGAUUUGCGACACAUAUUUUCAAAGACUACACUGACCGAUUUUUAAUUUUAGAAACCAUCUUGACGAUGAGGGUAUUUUCCAAGAAUCAUUUUUGAUAAAACCCCAUUAUAAUUUUGUUCAAAGAAGGAAGGAUCUUUUGCUUCUUUCUCCAUCAAUUUUGAAUUUCGUAUCAUGUUCCACUUCACUUUCUUCCGGAUCUCAGAUUCGCAAAGAUCCCCAUUUCUUCACUACUUCAUUUAUUGAUAUAAUUACAGACUAAUGAACUUAAAAAAGAAAAUCAUCAAUCUUGAGCCCAAUGCAUUCAAAACUAAAAGAGAUGAGAUCAAAAGGAGUGUCCACGUGCACUCGUGAAAGAAAGAACAAUUGAGGUAAUUUCUUUCCACCAUUUUUCACUUUUGAACACAAUUUUUUAGCACAGAUCUAAUAAAAAUCAAGAACCAAAAUUAAAAAGGCGUGCAAAACGUAAAAAUGAAUGUACAGAAAUUACUUCCUUCAACACAAAAGUACAAGUCGCAAAGAGACCGCAGGCAACACCGCGUCUCGCACCGGCACUGUCCCUCAACUAUUUUCAAUGACCAAAAUAUCCUCAUAUUAUCACCCCUUUCCAUUUGUCACCUGGUUAUUCCCUCUAAUUACAAUUCAACCCCACUCCAUGUUUAUUCAUACAUGAUAAGAAGUUCAAGUACGUAUCCCAAUACUAGUACUCCUGUAUCCCUUCCAAGCUGUAUAAUUCUCUGUAAAUAAAUACACACUUACAAGCAUUAAAACUCGGCAGAAUCCACGCCGUAACUACUCCUCCCCUUCGUCGUCGCCGCCGCCGCCGAAGAUCGAAACCUUGUUGUAAAGAAGGAAUAAAACGAGGCAGAGAAACAAUGCAACCCCAACCGGCGACGGCGAGCCACUAAUGCUGUGGGUGGUGUAGGGAUCCCCGGUCGAGAACGAGGAGACGAAGGAGCCGCUGGAAGACAGGAACUGAAUGAUGAUCACGAGGAGAAUAAUGGGGAGAAGGAGAAAACCCAACUGACUCAAAAGCUCGCUGAAGGCUUCGAUUAUGGCCCCCCCUUGUUCACCUACAUAGGACGGCACCACGAACAACGCCACGACCACCAACGCUAGUAGAAUCCCGUGGGGGGGCAGUUCCGGCGUGCCUCUCCUGAUGUAUCAUUUUUGUGUGUUGUGUUUUUUUGGUAAGACUUUUGUGUUUUGGUUGGGGCGGGUUGGAGGGAUUAAAAUAGGGUGGCUGUGAUGCGUUUGGCUGAGGUUGUGACUUGUGAAGUGGUUUUCUAAGGAGUGACUGGAGACUGAUAAAAUUGAUGUGGAUGGCAUGUGUUAUUAUAUGUUUGCUAUUUGGGUGACUCUUAGAUCUAAAUUUGAGUUUUUUAUUCGGGUUGAUGAUGAUGAUGGAUUGGAACAAUCAAAAUUCAAAUGGAACUUUCUUUUUGUCUUGGUUAUAAAAACAAAAGAAAAGGACUGAAUUAGGUUAGCAAUUUUGUUUUGCUCCGGUGAUUUGUUUGUGUCGCUUAUGCGAUUUAUGUGGCCUCAUUGUCGAUGGUUUUAUGUCAGGUACCAGUGUUAGGAUUGUCGCGUCUGCCUUCUUUGUGAUAGUUUUAUCCGGGGCUCCUGUUCGUGGUGGUCUAUUGUGUAGACGUAUAGGAGUUUAAAAUUAUUUGUAUCUUUUGCAAACUAUUUCCAGAUCAAGAAAUUCAUCACUGGAGAAAUUGUACCCAUCUGGCACCUCUUGUGUUUGGUUGUUGAUAGUAAUUAAGCACUCUAUUGCUUAUGUCAAAAAAUAAAAAAGAAAAGAAAAGAAAAUGAUUGAAUUAUUAUUUUGGCCACUGUAGUUUCAGUUUUCACGAUUUGGAAAUUACAAAAUGAUAGUUGUAGCAAUUCAAGGACAAUAACUUGUGUUUUAUUUUUAAAGAAACUAUAAAAAAAAAUGGGCACAUAAAAGGUGUUAUCUACAUGUAAAAGUUUAUCUUAUCCUCACGCAUGCUCUAAUUUUAUCGGAAAUUAAUUUAUUGUCCUUAAAUUACAAUAUUAGUAAGCAACAUGCAUCAUGAAAACGAUAUAGAUGAAAGUAAAACUCCGCCCAAACUAAAGCGACCAAAACCAUAAUUUAGCAAAAGAGAAAUAUCAAAUAAAAGAGGCAUAUGGUGUGGAAGAAGAAAAUUACAUUCCUUUCCAAUUUUCCAACAAAUGCUAAGGGACAUAUUUGUUUCUUGUCAAUUUGUAAUUAAGUGGCAUGGUUUUAGACUGCUUUUUUGUGUGGGCAGAAAUUCUCAGAAAAUGUAAUGGAUUGUAUUUUGAUUUACUCGCCUGACCGAGUAACCGAGUGACGAGUCUGUGUAUGGAAUUGUGAAAUUACACAGAAGGUUCACACCGUUUAGGACCAGACUAGGAAGGUACCUGCAGAAUGCAGGUUGCAGCCAUUACCACAAAUGUUGGAGUCACAUUCAAACAAAAGAUCUGGGAAUUGGGAAGUGAAUGUGGGAAUCAAAAGCAUCAAACAUUGGGAUUUCAAGGGUAUUAGCAAGGAGGUGGAGCUUCACAUCUUGGACUCAUUUGAGACAAUUUCUUCCAGAGACCUCUAUAUGAAGAUAGCAGAAUGUAUGAAGUUUUAGAAGAACAGAAAAUUAUAUGAAAAUAUUGAGAGAAAAUGAUAGAUGUAAAAUGUAUUUGAUUUUCCUUACUGUGUUGUUUUACAAUUCACACUUAUAUAAGUGUUUCCAAAACUCAAUCUUACAAAGUAAGUAACCUCCUUUUAACUACCUCCUUAUGUCAACCAACUAUCUCCUUAUUCCAACUAACUAUAUCUCUAACCACUAAGAUUCCAACUAACAUACCAGCCUUUAUAGUCUCUUGACAAGUGGCAUUAGUUACCCACUGAUAUCCUUUUCACUUGGACCACUAUUUUCCACUUCAUUCUUCUUACACUCUAAAGCAGUAAGGUCGAGUUUGUUCAAAUUCGACAUAUCCAUGUCACAAAUUGACAAGAUUGUGGUUAGUGCAAUGGAGACAAAAUUUAUCAAUCCAUUCCUGUAGGAGUAGAACAUUCGGGAUCUAUUAGACAUGUGUUGGUUUAAAUUUUCAUGAAAAACUUCGGAUUUUUCAUGGGUGCAAUGUUUUAGGAAAACAUCGGGUUUUCAAAGCAUAUUCAAAAACUUCGGGUUCGAAAAAUAUAUGAACUUCAGGUUCAUGGGUUUCUACAAGCAAACACAAUAUAUACAUAAAAGUAUGCAACAGAUAAAUGCACGUAGGUCUUCAGGGCAUACGACAAUAAUUUUAUGAAUUGAUGAUUUUUUGUUAUUGAGCUUCGGGCCAAUAAAGAGUGAUGAACAAAAAGUAAUAAAACCCAAUAGUCCUCAACCUGUGAGGUCUUGUUCAACGAUCUGCUUAAGAUGUUGAACUGCUUGUGGAACCCAUGUAAGGGUGAAAGUUGGGAACGUAGUGAGCUGCUCCCAUACCUUCUUCAAGUAUUGCGCCAUCCUUGGAUGAUCCGUCAUGUGCUCUUUUGAGGCUUAGUUGGUGGCCAGCUGAAAAUCUAAAUGGAUUGCAAGUUUCUUCACCGCUAAGUCUGUCGCUAGCCAAGGGGGUUGCUGGUUAAAACCUCAUGUUUUGCUUCGUCAUUGAAUAUUUUGAAGCCUAGAGUGUCAUAGGCCUAGUCGGCACAGCUGGGAGUUGCGGAGCAUGAGUCCACGCGAUGGGGAGCCGUAAAGCAUGAUCUGGCAUGACAAGGAGCCGAUGUGCAUGAUUGGCACGACUGGGAGCUGUGGUGCAAGAUCGAGGGCAUCCAGGAAUUACAGAGCAGGUAGGCACGACUGUGAUGGUUUUGCCCUGUGCAUUUAGGGUUUGUACGCGCAUCAAAAGUUUACCAAAAAUUGGUGGAAAUUAAGGUAUUUAUAAGAGGAGGUGACCGACCAUAGUGUUAGAGUUUUGCCCACACAUGGCGGCAUCCUAUUGGCCAAGGUGUGUCAGUCAUUGGAUGAAUGAGGAAAGAAUAUUCCCAAUAUAUUAAUUAGGAGGUAAUAUCUUGGGAUAAUGGUGGAAGUAUCCUUGAUUGGUUAUGAGGAGGAUUCCUUACUUCAUGUGGUUGAUCUUCAACUAGGAACGUAUAAAAGAUAGGAUUUGGUGAUUAAUCCUAUCUUUAAUGUCUUUGACUUUUCCAUGCCACGAGCAGAGGAGCUUUGAACAAUCGUAGUCCAUUGCUUGAACUUCCAAGGAUGUUGAGCUGCAUGUGGGACUAGGGGUGGUUCGGUAUGGGAUCCCAUACCGAAACCCUUGUCCCGAUUCCCAAACCAAAAAUUUCGGGAAUCCCAAUUUCAAUACCGAUCCCAAACCAAAUUUUCGGGAAUCCCAAUUUUCGGGAAUCCCGAAAUAGUUUUGGGAUUUCGGGACAAAUCGGGAAUCCCGAAAUGAUUUUGGGCUUUUGGGCUUUUAGGCUUUUGGACUAAAAUAUUAUGUUUUUGGGCUAAAAUUGAACCUUUUAACACUUUUGGGUUGCAAUCUGCUAAGAAGCCCGUUGCAAUAUGUGCCAAUUGCAAGUUAUGUCAAUUUAAAUGUAGAUGCUACAAUUGCAAGACUUUGCCAAUCUGGAUUCAAAUGUAGAUGCUACAAUUGCAAGACUCUGUCGAUUUAAAUCAUUCAUACAGAAAUAUGUGCAACUAUUGAAGCCUUCAUUUUCUAUGGACUCUAUCGAUCUAAAUAUAUAUUUAAAAAUUAAAUAAUAUAUUUUUUUUUUCGGUUCGGUUUGGGAAUACCAAAAUCCCAAAAACUUGAGACCGAUUCCCGUACUGAAAUUUCGGGAUUGGUUCGGUAUUAGGUGCCGAAAUUUUCGGGAAUUUCGGUUUGGGAUUUUUUCAGUUUGGUUUCGGGAAUUUUUCGGUUUGGUUUGGGAUUUUUGGGAUUUUUUUCCAGCCCUAUGUGGGACUAUUUUUGUGUCUGCCUAUUUAUUGAGGGCAAUAUUGUCUUCUCGGGGAUAAAGUCCACAUGUCGUCUUUUGGAUUUUUGAGAUUUUUUUUGACUCCACAAUAGCCACGGGCUGGUGUUUAGAGCAACUCCACCGUUGCAAAGGCCCUAUAUGGCUAUUCACUAUUUAAUACACCCAGUGAACAGUAACUAUCUUUUGCAUUUCCACCCUACAUUGAAUAGCCCUGGCAAUAGACAGUAAAAUAUUAGUAUUUUAUUUAUUUAUAAAAUAAUACAAAAUAAUUUUAUUUGUAAUUUCGAAUAAUAUUUUUAAUUGUUCUAAUUGCGUCAUGUGUCAUUAUCCGAAAAGACAAUUAUUGGUGAUGGAUUUUGAUAAGAUUUUUAUCCAAUGUCGUCGUGCCAUGUGUCAUUACCUUUUCAAAAUCGUUAAGGAUAGAUUUCCGAUAAGAUUUUUAACCAAUGACGGCGUGCCACGUGGCAUUAUCUACAACCUAAUCCUUUAUGAAUCCUCCACAUAAUCCACUGUCCAUCCUCAUCAAUCUCACACCAAUUUUCUCAAGAUCUCUAUCAUUAUUCAUAGUUUUUGCUUCUUUCUUCACCAAAAUCAAAAUUUGUAUCAUUAUUCAUGGUUUCUGAUUCCUUCUUACAAUGUCUUAUUCUUCAAGGAUGAUGUGGGAAAUCGAUCAGUAAGAGGAAUAAUUGUUUAACCAAUCAGAAGGAAUGUUCAAUCUCCAGGUGGCCCAAAAUGAGAUGGAAGAUGAUGAGAAAUGUAGAAGGAGAUAUGACGAAGCAAGAAUGGCCAGACUUUACAUUCCCGUCGAGUCAUCCAAGCUGUGGCUCAGAUCUGCAAGCCCAGCGGUUCCACAAACCUUGAUAGAAGCAGGCAACGACGAGGUACAGAUCUCUUGGAUGAUUAUUUUGUCCGUAACAGUGCAUUCCUUGAUACGUACUUUAGACGUCGCUUUUGAAUAGAACAACAUUUGUUCAACAAAAUCAUGAUUGCUGUUUGCAACCAUGAUUCUUACUUUAUGCAAAAGAAUGAUGAUUUUGGUGUUAUGGGUUUCCUUCCUAAGCAAAAAAUAAAUGAUGUCUUGCGGAUGCUUGCAUAUGGAGCAUCUGCAGACUAAGUGGAUGAGAUAGUAAGGAUGGGGAAAUCAACCAUUCUUAAGUCCCUGAUGAGGUUUUGCGGAGCAAUCGAAUCCAUCUACACCGCAGAGUACCUCUAGAAACCUACUGAGAUGGACUUGCAAAGGCUUCUGAAGAAGGGUGAGAUGCAAGGUUUUCCUGGGAUGAUUGGAAUCAUCGACUGUAUGCACUGGACCUGGAAAAAUUGUCCAAUUACAUGGCAAGGCGCUUAUGAGGACAAAAAAAUGAGUAAAGAGUAUCAUUUUGGAGGCGGUGACAUCUUUUGAUACAUGGAUUUGACAUGCCUUUUUCGAGGUUCCUGUAGCUUAAAAUGACCUCAAUAUCCUUGCCAAUCCCCAGUAUUCAACGAUGUCCUGCAAGGAAAAGCACCAAGAGUCAUGUACUAGGUCAACAUACAUAAGUACCACAGGCCAUACCACCUAGCAGACGACAUUUAUCCAAGGUGGUCAUCGUUUGUCAAAAUAGUGCCACGUCCGCGAAGUGCAAAGGAAAAACACUUUGCAAGCUAUCAAGAGGGGUGCAGGAAAUAUGUGGAGCAUUGUUUUAGUAUCCUCCAAGCUCACUGGGCGAUUGUCAGGGAUGUUGCCAGAAUGUUUGAUUUAGAGUCGCUUCGAUCAAUUAUGAUGAUGUGCAUCAUUCUUCACAAUAUGAUUAUGGAAUAUGACUACGAUUAUGAUGCCGUUGAUGAAUAUGAGUCAAACACUUUGCAAGCUAUCAAGAGGGGUGCAGGAAAGAUGUGGAGCAUUGUUUUAGUAUCCUCCAAGCUCACUGGGCGAUUGUCAGGGGUGUUGCCAGAAUGUUUGAUUUAGAGUCGUUUCGAUCCAUCAUGAUGAUGUGCAUCAUUCUUCACAAUAUGAUUAUGGAAGAUGAGCACAAUUAUGAUGCCGUUGAUGAAUAUGAGCCAAACACGAUGAACAAUUCUAGAACACAAAUAUAUUGUGUUCAUGACGCCAUCGAAGAACCCGUGCAACAUGAGCCAUUAGAAAGGGAUGGACGUUACAAUGAAAGACUCAUUCAAUGAUAUACUGCACUUCAGGAGUCAUAUAUGCAUAAUGCUCGUCAAAUUGACUUGAUAGAUCACCAGUGGGAAGUCAAACAAGCUCAAGAUACUUAAGUUCAUUUAGUGUGUUUGUUUUUAUUUGGUGUGUUUAUUUAAUUUUAUUUGGUAUAUUUUUUAAGUUCAUUUAGUGAUUUUUUUAUUAUUUGGUGUGUUUAUAUCCUUUGAAUAAAGAUUGUCUUAGUUUAAAUAAAUUACCAAAUUAAAUAAAUAUACACUUAGUUUAAAUAAAGUACUCUAUUCAAUAAAUAAGAAAUUACAACCCAAAGUGAUCGGAAAAUUAUGGGCUCCGAUUACAAACAAAGUGAUUGGAAAAUUAUGGGCUCUUGAAUGGAAAAUCAUCACCUAACCAAUUUGUGGUGCUAGGAUCAUCUCCUCUUGCUCUCGCUUCUCUUGCACGCCUCAUUCGCACCACGCCCGUUUUCUCCGAAUUCCAAAAAUAUUGAGAUUUCAGAGACUUCCCUUCUAAAGGCGUGUUCAUAAUGUCACUAUCUCGUUGAGCCCUUCUUUCUUCUCUAAUCUCUUCCAUUUCUUGCCUAAGUAGCUAUCUUUCUUUCUCAUUAGCUUGAAAUUCUCUCUCAACAGCUGCAGCUUUUACCUCAUCUGUAGCCUUAUCAGCCUCAAAUUUAGCCAUUUCCCGCGCCAAAGUCAAUUCACUUUGGCGAGCAAGUUCUUCUACUUUGCAUAAUCAUUCUUGGAAGCACACAAUUUUCUCUUUAAAGCCUACUUACCUUGAGGCCUAAUUGGAUAAUGGGUAGACCUCGACGCUUGUUCAAGGGGGCAUAUCCGGCACUCCUUCUGUGUCAUCUUCAUGAACAUGCGAGGCAUGAUCGGGCGUAGAAUGUAGAGGGGCGUUGUUCAUGACAACCUCUGGACCGACAUGCACAACUCUGAAUUUAGGACAAUCUUUGACAACAUCCCAACAUUCCCACUGGGUGAAUGAUUGCUUUUUGUUUUUGGAUUUGGCAUUAUACCAAACUUGUGCUUGAAGUGUCUGCACAAUGCAGAAAAAGAAAUAAUUAUAAUCAAAGUAGCUAAUGUAAAUUUGGGUAUAGUACAAACAAAUAAAUAAAAUAUUGUUACCUGAUCCGCUAAAUUUUCCCCACUUCAAAGAUUACUGCUCGCUUAUGCCAAGGCGUCUCUCCACAUACUAAACGAUUGGCUGAGUAUUUUCCAACGACUGGACAUCGAUUCUUUAGUUCUUUUCCCACCAAUUUUCUCAAGAUAUUUGGUAUGAAUAAGACUCCACAUUUCUCGCAACUGCAUCUCAUUACCCGUAAUCGAAUCAUGAGUAACUUCAACCCAGCUAGUGCACAACGUAACAUCUUCAAUAAGCGUCCAAUUCGUACCUGCAUCAUUAGUCAUUUUGUUAGGAAAAAAAUUGGAUUGAAACUUUGAGAGAAAGAUAGGGAUGUGGUUGGAAGUAGUUGAGAAAAUAUGAAAUUAUGAUGUAAGGUAGAAAAUAAUGAGAAGGUAUUUAUAGAAAAGUAAAAUCAUUUUUUUUUAAUUUUAAAAUUUUUUUUCUUCGGAUUUUUAUUAAUUUUUUACAUUUUAAAAUUUUUUUUAUUCACAUAAUUAAUCUAUGUUGUUGGAUUAAAAAAAUUGAAAUCCAACACUCCAGAUUGUGCCAUGUCGCACAAUGGUAAGAUUUCAGAAUUUUAAACAGCUUUUUCUUUUUCUUUUUUAAUUUAUAAAGGCAAAUAAAGUGGACCAUUGAUCUCAGAUACAAUGGCUGAAAUUAUAUAAGGUUUAAAAAAAAAUUACCAUUGGAAAUCCAACGGUCCAUAAAAUGUUGCCGUUGAAAUCCAAUGGACAUGGGGAAGCCAUGUGGCCUCCCCAACAGUAACAUAUCAGAAAAGCGCCACGGGCUCCACGUCUAAAACCGUGUCGGACGACACACGCCAAUGCGUGCUUGAAGCGCAUGCGCCUGAUGCAAAAAAGAGAGAAAACAUGGCUGACGUCGCCGACGUUAGCCUUGCGUCACCUGGCCAUCGGGCUCUCGGGCCAGCUACUCUCGCCGGGCCUCUCCCUCAGAUCCCCUCGAGCUCAAUCGCCAGCUUGGGCUGGACCUUCUUGCUCGGGUGUUUUAGCACUGUUUGAUAGCCAGCCCAUCGGGCUAUCAGCUCUGGUGGAGCUGCUCUUAUGGGCCGAGCAAAAGAGAUGCAGCGGGCUGCUGCAAGCGAGCUCAAUAAUAAUUUUUUUUAAUUAUAGCUGCUGCAGGCAGAGGUACCAUGCCUAGUUUUGGGCUCGGACUGACUAGAAAAACACCCUAGCGCAUGUUGGGUGAGUUCACCAGAAAAAAAAAGGCCGGUGCCGCCGCUAUAGGUGGCCGUGUUUUUUUUUUUUUUUUUUUUUUGUAUGACUUUUGUGUUUUGGUUUGGUGGGUUGGAGGAUUAAACUAGGGGUGGAUGACGAGUUUGGCUGAGGGUGUGAAGAGCUUUUCUAAGAAGUGAUUGGAGAAUGAGAAAGUUGAUGUGGAUGGCAUGUGUUAUUAUAUAUUUGCUAUUUGGGUGACUCUUUAUUCUACGUUUGAGUUUUUAAAUGGGUUAAUGAUGAUGAUGAUGGAACUUUCUUUUUGUCUUUAUUUGGUCGAUUUUGUCUUCUGGUUAUAAAAAGAAAAGGACCAAAUUAUAAUAUGUCUUUUGGUUAGACAAAGAAAAAGACUUUAGAAUUAUUAUUUUGGUCAAUGUAGUUUCAGGUUUCACGAUUUUAAAAUUACAAAAUCAUAAUUAUUGCAAUUAAAGGACAAUAAUUCAUUAUUUUAUUUAACAAAAUUAUCACAGGUGGGCACAUAUUUGUUGUAUACAUGUAAAAGUUUAUUUUAUUCUGACGCAUGCUCUAGUUUUAUCAGAAAUUAAUUUAUUGUCUUUAAAUUGUACUAUAGUAAGCAGUAUGUAUCAUGAAAAUUAUAUGAAUAAAAGUCAAACUUGGUCCAAACUAAAGAGACUAAAACCAUAAUCUAGCAAAAAGAGAAAACAUCAAAUAAAAGAGCAUAUGGUACGCAAGAAGAAAAUUACAUUCGAUUCCAAAUUUUCAAUAAAUGUUAAGUGACAUAUUUGUUUCUGGUAAAUUAUUAAUUAAGUGACAUGGUUUCUCAGAAAAAGUAAUGCAUGAACUUGUUACUUCCAGACUAAGAAGGUACCUGCAGAACGCAGGCUGCAGCCAUUACCACAAAUGUUGGCGUCAAGUUCAAACGAAAUAGCUGGGAAUUGGGAUGUGAACGUGAGAAUCAGAAGCAUCAAACUUUGGGAUUUGCAAGGUUGUACCGUUGGUCGUAAUCGGUAUUUUAUUUUAUACAAGCGAAACUUAUGGUUGAGGAAUCGAACAUGAGAACUGACAUAAAAUUAAACGGGCAUAAUUUUAUUUAACUGAGCUGUUAACAUUAAUGUUCCAACCAAACCCAAACAUAUAAUAUCCGUUAUAUGCGGCUUUCAUGUGUUAUGUAGUAUUUUGAAAGAAAUUGGUGUUCCAUUAUAAAACUAAUUGACAAUAUUCGGAAUGAUGCACUUAUAAUCUCAAAGCAAGGUUUCUCCUUUCGCCGAUGUGAGAUUCUUUUACCUUUGCAUCCUCACACGUCCUCUCAUGUGUGGUGAAUUUUCAAGUCAAACACGUAGACAACACACACAUGGAUAACACAAAUUGGCGAAUUGGAGCACAUGUAGCCAUUGGGAUUCACACUUGGGCCAACUUGGCUUUGACACUAUGAAGGAAGUUGAAGUUCUACCAUGAAACCAAUUGGUAAUAUGAGGAGUAACUCAACUUAUAAGCUCAUACAAGAUUUCUCUUUUCUCGGAUGUGAGACUUUUUUACUCUCACUUCCUCACAGUGUUACUAAUUCAAAAAGUUUCACAUAAUUAGGGUUUUGCUUACUUGAAAGUAAUACAAACGUUUGGCUUUCACUACUUAGUAAUAAACCCUAACCACAUAGUGCAUAUUAGGAUCAGCAGAAGUGCAGCUAUUAUUAUCACAUCAUAUGCUUUAAACAUUUGAUCUCUCUAUCAUUUUUUUGUAUAUUUUUACUUGUGCAGGAACUUCCUCAAACACAGGAAGGUCAAUAAUUUUGAAUCAAAAUAGAAUAAGAAUAGUGUUCAAAGCAGCAUGUGCAACCGCGGCAUAGUCACAGUGGGAUCAUCAAUAUAUGGAAAAUCAAAUGCCAAUUACACUGGCCAUGUUACAUCACAUAAAAUAAUUAGAAUUUAGAUCAACAAGGCAAUUCUAAAUUCUUUAAUUACAAAAACAAGCUUGUGAUGAUUACGAUGAGAUCGGUAUGAAUUUGUGCUCAUAGAAUUUGACUAAUUUGACUUUUUAAAUCACAAUUACAACCUAUUAUUGAGCAAGAUAAUACAAUUUUAAACAAUGGUGCAACUUUGCUUAGUUUCACCUUGCACCAUCCUAGUUUAGGCUUUUAGUACGUAGUAAUAGUUUGGUUUCUGUCUUUUUUUUUUUCUUUUUCUAAAUGACAAUUCAUUAUACAAAAAUUACGAAUUCUUACACUAUUGGUUCCUCCAUUAGUGUAACAGAAAGCUAGCUAUAUUGUAUCACUUCUUUUUUUUCAAAAGGGGAGAUAAUUGGUGGCAAUCCACAGUUAUCCAUCUCUUCUGAAUCCGAAGAGGUCAUGUGGAGAAUUUCAUCUUACCUGUAGCUACAAUCAAGCAAAAAUAUAUUGUAUGGUAUCAUAGCUUGACCCUUUUUUUCUUGUAUAAAGUCAUAUAGAAGAAAAAUAACAAAAUUUUCCCAUAAAAUUUCAGCUUUAUUUGGAUUCCCGCGCGCUGUUGCCAUCGACAAAGGAAAGUUGGAGCGCGUCGACUUAAAAAGUUUAAUCUUGCACGAGAAUUUAUUUCUUGCGCGAUACCUUGAUCAUCCAUCCAUCACAAUCUCUCGAAAUCCAAGGCCCCAUGCGAAUAGCAGUCCCUCUUUGCAGCCAUUAAUUCAGUUGCACGAGAGCUUAGAUGUCAUCGGCUUGGUUCCUUCCUUCCACCUAGCUUUUCAUAUGACCAGGUUAUAGACUGAAGUUUCUGAUACUAUCCUAGUCCAGUAGAGGUCCAACUGAAAAAGGUCAGAGCCCAUCCUAGCCUGGCCACAUAUACUGGUGCAUUUGUUACACUAGAUUAUUUCGAACUAGACUAGUUUUAGAGAUUAAGUUCGAUUGGCUUGACAUGAACUAAGUAAUAAAAAAGGUCGUACCCAGUGCACAAGGCUCCCGCUUUACGCAGGGUCUGGGAGAGGUGAAUGUCGGCUAGCCUUACCCCCAUUUUAUGGAGAGGCUGCUUCCAAGUCUCGAACCCGAGACCUACCGCUCAUGGGCGAAGGCACUUGCCAUCGCACCAAGUGCGACCUCUUACAUGAACUAAGUAAUAUAAGAAUGAAACGUUUGAUGCAGUAUCAGCCUAAGUCACAGACUAACUUAUUUUUAGAACUUAAAUAUAUUUUUUUGUUACUUUUUAAUCAUCUUAUCAAUAAAUUAUAAAUUUUAACCCAAAUAUUUUCACUUCAUUUAACCCAAUUUCAAUUCCGCUUGCGCACACGCGUUCGUAGUGACAAAUACUACACGAAUACGCUAAAAUAAUAGCUCAUACGUGUCACGACAUGAGGGUCAACCAAAGUCAACAUUCUCGCCUAUAGGGGAUUUUGGUAAAUUCCCACCUUUCAAAAUAAAAUACCAUAUAGUUAGAGAUGGGUCCUAACAAGGUACUUUCUGGAGGUAAUAGCUUCAUGGCUUCAAAUGGAGUUACUGAAAUCCUAUACUGUCUUGCAAAAUGCAUCACGACUUUAGGGAGCAUGCCAACAUGUUAGGGUUGUAACUUUUAAAAUAUUGGAUUCUACUGUGUUAUACAUAGUAAGGUAAACAAAAGCUGGGUGAAAUAUAUAUGCAAUCUUUCUGGCAGAUGUUCGCAUUUUUUUCUUUCCAAGUUUUCCUGUUGAUGUGCUUCUGGCAGCUUUUCAAUUUCGGUGAUUCUAAAUUCUCAAAACAAACAUUGAUGCAAUGAUGCUGCCGCAAGAGUUCUAUUUGCAACUCAUAUGUAUCCCUUUUCAUAAUUUCUCAAGUUCCAAAGGUGCUUGCAUUGACUAAAUACUUGCAGAUGCAGGUUGAGAGUUUCAAAUUUGUCUCAGCUGCAGGAUGUCGAGGAAACCGAACCGGGUUGUAAUAGCAGCAUUAACUUCAGUAGUAGUUAUUCAGGAGAACAAACGGUGCUUGAAUAUAGUGCUUUGCCGAUUAUUCCAGUUACUUGGUUCAGUUGAGAAAUGCAGAUGUGUGUUGGAGUUGAUGAGCCUCAUAAAAGAUAUCAACUUGAAAAUAAGAAUGCUUGAACACAGUGCAGUUUGUAGGCUCAACUCAGUUAACAAUGAGUGAUGCCAACAUAUUCCAUUUAUAGGGAUUACAAGGUAUUCAGUUACAAGGAGAUUUAUCUCAUAUAUCAAAACAUUUACAAGAUAAACAUAUUUGAUAAUUAUCAUGAUCAAAAUUGUGCAACAGACUUGAUAGAGAAGAGGUUGAUGUUUAUCUAAACUCUACUUACAGGUUUGAAUGUUAUACGUGGGAAAUGGUGUUGCUGUUAACAAGUUUGGCUGACUGGAUUGCUGAUGUGGAUUGGACUGCUGACAUGGUUUAUCACAGCCCCUCAAGUUAAGCGGGCGGGAACAGAUAGGAAGCUUGGAUAGCAGAAACAGAAAUUGUUGGGAUGAUAAGCCGUGAAAAGAUCAGCGAGCUGAUCGGUGGAAGCAACAUAACCAACAACAAUUUCUUUUUUAGUAACUUUUUCACUCACAUAAUGGUAAUGAACUUCGACAUGGCGCAUCCUAGCUUGAUAGACUGGAUUAGAGGCAACAACAAUAACGCUUAUAUUAUCACACCAGAGACGUGGAGGAGAAAGAUGAAGAUGAAGAUGAGGAUCACGGUUUUUGAACUAAGAGAGAGUUGCUGAAGUGUAAGUAAGUUGACGGUAUUCCGCUUCUGUGCUAGAGCGAGAGACCCCUUUUUGUUUCUUAGAACUCCACGAAAUGAGAUUGCUGCCAAGGAAUAUACAUUAGCCUUCAGUGCAUUGUCGAUCAUCUAGGUCCCCAGCGUAAUCAGCGUGGGCAUACGCAGUAAGAGUGAGGGGACUCGCAAUGUAGACAAGCCCAUGAUCAUGCAUUGCUUUUAAGUAUUGAAUGAUACGUUUGACAGCAGCCUAAUGAGUGGUUGUUGGUGAAUGCAUAUAUUGGCAAACUUGGUUAACUACAAAAGCAAUGUCAGGGCGUGUGACGAGAAGGUAUUGAAGAGCACCAACAACACUUUUGAAUUUUGUUACAUUAGAAAGAGGUUCCCCUUCAUAAAGACUAAGACAUCGACUAGUAAGAGCAGGAGUUGAAGUUGGCUUGCAAUCGGUCAUCUUGGUAUGACAGAGAAGGUCCAUAAUGUAUUUGGAUUGAGAAAGAUACAUGCCAGUAGGUGUACGAGUGACCUUCAUGCCAAGAAAAAAAUUAAGUAGCCCAAGAUCCUUCAUAGAGAAUAGUCUUCCAAGUUGAGUAAUGAAACUUGAAAUUUGAGCAGCAUCAUUCCCAGUGACUAAAAUGUCAUCAACAUAAAUCAAAAGAUAAAUGAUAGUGGCACCAUUGAAGAAUGUAAACAUGGAGGAGUCAGCAAUGGAAGCAAUAAAGCCUAAGUCCUCAAAGUGAUGAGAGAAACACUGAAACCACGCCCAAGGUGCUUGUUUAAGGCCGUGUAAAGAACGACGAAGCUUGCAAACAUGAGUAGGGUAUUGAGGAUCUACAAAGCCUGAUGGUUGUCUCAUAAACACUUCUUUAACCAGUGUGCCAUGAAGAAAUGCAUUUUGGACGUCAAGUUAACGAAUAGGCCAAUUGAAGUGAAGAGCAAUGGACAGUAUGAGACAGAUUGUUGCAUGAGUCACAACGAGACUAAAAGUUUGCCCAUAAUCGAGACCUUCAUGUUGAUGAAAAACAUUGGCAACAAGACGUGCUUUGAGCCGUUCCGUUCAAUGGAACCAUCAGACUUACGCUUGAUGCGAUACACCCAUUUGUUUGGAAGAACAUUGAAAUGUGGCUGACAAGGAAUGAGAGUCCAGGUACCUGUGCGUUGGAGUGCAUUAAACUCAUCUGCCAUUGCUUACCGCCACUCAGGAUACUUGUUUGUUUGACUGAAACAUGUAGGUUCAACCAGGUUAUCAACAUUAGUAGCAAGUAAAACAUACUUAUGAUUGGGUUGUUGAAUCUCAUCCUUACCACGUGUGACCAUAAAGUGAGAGGAAGUAGUUAGUGGUGGGUGCUGACUUGUUGAAGACUGCCUUAUAUUCGAACUUGGGAAAAAGUUGGUGGGUGUGGGACCUAACAGGGAUGGGUCUAAUGUAGUGGUGAUAAGAUUGGAUAAUGUAGUGGUGAUAAGAUUGGAUGAAAGGGUAGGAAGAAGAGGAGCCUGAGGACUGGCGUGGCAGGAUAUGAGAGUGGCAGUGGGAGUAGAAAUGGUGGGGUUAGUAGGUAGAAUAGUGGGAGUGAGGUGUGGAUUGAUGGGAUAACCUUAACUAGGAUAGUGUGGCCCUAUUUCAAUCGUGGCAGGAAGUGUAUCAGAGGAAGAAGACGGGACAAUAGGAAUGGAGUCUUUGUAUGGAAAAGAAUUUUCAUAAAAAACAACAUGACGAGAUAAAAAUAUGUGACCUGUAGAUGGAUCUAAACAACAAUAACCUUGUUGGUUCAAUGAAUACCCGAGGAAUAUGCACUUUUUAGAAUGAAAUUGCAACUUGUUAAUGUUGUAGGGACGUAAGUAUGGAAAACAUGCACAACCAAAUACUUUAAGAAAAUCAUAUUGUGGAGAUUUGGAAAAUAAUUUGUGAUAUGGAGAAUCAUUUUGUAAAACUUUUGUGGGCAACCAAUUUAUAAGGUAAUUAGCGGUAUGAAAGACUUCAACCAAAAAAGAUGCAGGCAAAAAAGCAUGGGCAAGAAGUGUAAGUCCGAUUUCGACCAAAUGUCGGUGUUUUCUUUCGGCUAAGCUGUUUUGUUCCAGAUGAUGUGGGCAAGUGAAACGAUGAUGUAUGCCAUGAGUAGCCAAAAAAAUUUGAAAAUUAUUAUUGAUAUAUUUUCCACCUCCAUCCAUUUGAAAUGAUUUGAUUGUGGUACUGAACAUGUUUUCCACUAAUUUUUUAAAAGUAACAAAUGUUGCAAAUACUUCAGAUUUUAAUUUUAAAGGGUAAAUCCAAGAAUAACGAGAGAAAUCAUUGAUAAAAAUAACAUAAUAUUUGCAUCCAUUAAUAGAAUGGGACGGUGACGUCCAUACAUCAGAGUGUAUCAAUUAUAAAGGAAAUGACGACAAAGAAGUAGAUAAUGAAAAUGGUAAUUUAUGACUCUUGCCAAGUGGACAUGAGUGACACACUUCAUUGGUGACUUUACCAAAAAUGGGCAAUUUAUUCCUACCUACAAGAAAUUUAAAUAGAACUUGAUGGAUGUCCUAAACGAGAAUGCCAAAUAUUAUCUGACACACGAGCACCGAUACAUGCAAAAACGCCAUUAUUGUUUGAGAUGGAAAGACUGGAAAAAUGAGAGAAUCCAUUCCUACUCUGGCCGUGCAAAAGGAUCUUUCCCGUUUGCAUGUCUUGAACAUGAUAAGAGGUAGGAGACAAAGUUAGAGAACACUUGUUAUUGGUGGUAAAACGAUUGAUGGAGAUGACAUUAGUUGUGGUAGUAGGGCAAUAUAGGGUGUUUGAUAAUUUAAAGGUUUGAUUAGGUGUUCGAAUAUAGGAAUGUCCAACUUUUGAAAUAUGCAAACCUGUGCCAGCAACUACUCCAUUCACAUGAUCAGUUCCAUGAUAGUCACAAGCAUUAGGGACUUGAGCUAAGUCGUUAGUGAUGUGGGUGUUGGCGCCAUAAUCAAAGAGCCAGUUCUGAACAGUAGGGGCACUGCCAGUGCCUGAUGAUGGAUCAACUGUAGCAAAAGCUUGAAGAUGAUAGCCACAAACAUGUCCCUCGUAGGCCAUAUUUAGACGAUUGAAACAAUUAAUGGCAGCAUGGCUGUGACGAUGACAAAUUUGGCAUUGAACUCUCCCAGAAGAAUAAAAACCAUUACUUCCAGAACCACCAUUGGAAGGUACAACGCCAAUGACUCCAUCAUUGUUGGACCGGUGUUGAGGAGUUGAGGGAUAAGCAAACUUGAUCCUCUAGGUUUAUGGUAAUUCCCAGAGUCAAAAUUACAACCACCAGAAGAAGAUCCAUGUCCACCUUGAUAGGAAGAACCACAACCCUGGAAACCACCACCGCACAUCCUUCUCGCUGAGCAACAAGAACAGUCGGUGUAGCUUCAAGAGGAAGAAUGUGUUGACUCUUUUGGCAUCGCUUAACGCUGAGAAGAAGGAACUCUAAUGAAGCAUAGGAAAUGGCUUCCUUUCGAACCUGUGCAGAUGCAAUAAUACUCUCAUAAGUCUGGCCAACGUUAUUAAGUACAAUGGCCACUAAGUUCGUAUCAGAGAUAGGAUAACCGGAGAGGAAGAGAGUAUCGGUGAUGUAAUUGACAUGAUCCAAAAAAUCAGCAAUGGACAAUGCGAUAGGUGUUCAUUAACUCACUUCGGAGCUGAAGGAGACAGCCAGUAGACGGGGAAACAUAUCAUUCCUUAAAAUAGGUCCAGGUAAAGUAGUAGCUAGUCUUACCAAUGAGAGUGGCAAGAACUGUAUGAUGGACAAAACUAUUUAACUAAGACAUCACCAUGGCGUCUUGUUGGAUCCAGGUCUUGUAGGCCGGAUUAACUUCAGCAGUAAGGUUGACGACAAUAUCUUUGAGGAAGGCAGAAGGGCAAACACCGGUUCCAUUGACAAAAGGAACCAAGUUCCAGCUACGAAGAAAAUGCAACAUAUGUGCUUGCCACAGAGGAUAGUUACUACAGUCCAACUUGAUAGUGAGGAGAUUUGGAGACAUUGGGAAUGAAUGGGGAAGGGAUAGGUAAAGGGGAUCCAGUUUCAAAGGCCAUUGAAGAAAAAAAAAAAUUAGGGUGUUUUGAAGUUGUCGUUAGACUGGGCUCAGUGAUACCAUAAAAGAUAUCAACUUGAAAAUAAGAAUGCUUGAACACAGUGCAAUUUGAAGGUUCAACUCAGUUAACAAUGAGUGAUGUCUUCCAUUUAUAGGGAUUACAAGGUAUUCAAUUACAAGGAGAUUUAUCUCCUAUAUCAAAACAUUUACAAGAUAAACAUAUUUGAUAAUUAUCAUGAUCAAAACUAUGCAGCAGACUUGACAAAGAAGAGGUUGAUGUUUAUCCAAACUCUACUUGCAGGUUUGAAUGUUAUACACGAGAAAUGGUGUUGUUGUUAUCAAGUUUGGCUGACUGGAUUAUUGAUGCAGAUUGGACUGCUGACAUGGUUUAUCACCUCACUGGUGGACGCUGGUCUCCCCAAUCAUUAGAGGACCUUUAUUGUUUAUACAGUAGAUGAUAUCAAACUCUUGACCUAGAGAACAAAUUUUUUUGUUGUAUGGAAAAUUGCCUAUGUUGGAUAUAGUUGUUGGGUGCCCAUCUUCUAUAAUUUAAUUUAAAUCUUAGUGGUGAAUAAUCACACCUUUUCACUUCAUAAACCCUACCUCAGGUGGCAACUAAGUAGAAUAUGCACUAGUGGAGCUAAGGUGGGUGCAAUGGAAUUCAUUGACCCCAAUAAGUUUGUUGGGCCACUCUUUUUUUUUUUUUGGGUGGAAAGAAGAAAAAAUGGGAAGAGGCAUUGCUUUGGUUUUUCGAAGAAUAAGAAAAAGAAAGGUUGAUGAGUUUGGUUUUAUAAUGGGAGAGAAGGUAGAUCCUUUUGUUUUAGCAGCAUCCAAUAUAUAUUGAGGCAUUUUCUUUGCCCAGGGCUGGUCCAGAGAUUUUUGAGGUCUGGGGCGAUGUAAAAAAAAGUGCCCUAACUUCAUGUAAGAAAAUUAUUUAUUUUCACACAUAAGACAUCGAAAAAAUUAUACUUAGAAAAACACUUCAAACUUAAUAAUUUAGAAACACAGAAAGACUAAUUUAUUUUGUAUUGAGAGAGGGAAACAAAAAAACUUACGGGCUUACAAGUAGAUAGAUGAUGAGUUUUGUUUUCCAUUUGAGCUUUGAAUGUGUUUUUGAAUCAAUCGUGAGGUGUUUUUUUUCUUAUUUACUAACCAUGUCAAUAUGGGACUAAAAAAUAAUGAUGUUUUCAAGUCUUUAAUUGAUAUGUAUUAUUAAUGAAUGGGCACUAAAUUAAACAUUUUGAUGACACGUCAUAUAAUUUGCAAAUUGGUCUACAUAUUAUUCUUUGUUGAAGAUUAGACUUGAAUUAAAACGAAUAUUUAAAAAUAACAACCCUACCUACUAGAUAGUAACUAAAAAUAAAUUAACAACCAAACAAAAAUUUGUAAAAAUUGAAAAGAAUAAACAUGUACAUAGCAUUUCGAACUUAUGACCUCUUGUUAAUUUUAAACAACAAAAAUCAUUGUUUCUAAUUAAACUUCUUGAUCCUUUAACCAAAUUUUAUAAAUUUAUACUCUUAUAAAAAGAAAUUUGUAAAAAAUAGAAAGUAAAUAAGCACACAUGGUGUUUUGAACCCAAGACCUCCUCAUUAUUUUCAAAUGACAAACCACCAUUUCUAGUUAAAUUUAUGUGUCUUUGAACCAAAUUUUAUAAAUUUAUACUCUUAAAAAAACAUAUAUAAAUAUACCACCCUAACAAUUUUGGUGUCCUUAAUUUUUUUGGGCCCUGGACGGUCGCCCUGCCUGCACUGGGCCUGGGCCAACCCUGGCUAUGCCUUUUGGUUUUGAACAACAACAGAAGAGAGAAGAGCUGUCUAUCGACAGCUCCAAUUUGUGAGCAGAGAAAAGAGAUGAGAGCCACACCAAGGAGAGCAUUCGGCUCUCCCAUUUGAAAAAAAAAAGCUCAUGGGCCUACCAUUUUGAGAGAGAAUUAGAUGCAAAGAGUGAGAAAAACAUGGGGCACUAUUUAAAGAAGGCAACAAUUGCUGAUUUAGUGUUCUCGUUGGAUUACUUCAUUUUUUGCUCUCCUUUGAGUAAUCACUCAUAUUGGUGCUAGAGAAACUUGUUAUGUAUUUUUGUAUUCUUUACUUGUUCUUUGUAUGAGUGAGAGCUAUUGGUGUAUGUGGGAUUUCAUAUUUGAGUUUGAAAUCUAUUUUUAAAUGAAAGUAUGAUCGCUUUUUGAAAGCUAUUUUUUUUUACUGCAUUAUUGUAAAUUCCUAGCUCCGCCACUGAAAAUAUGGUCACUUUUUUUGCAAAUCGUCAUGUGUGGCCUAAGAGGUUGGGCCUUACAUGUGAGAUGGUCUAUUGUCCAAACACCAAACAAAGGCAAAGACAUGAGGUAAGACAAGAGAGUAUGCCAUGGUGGAUCUGAAAAUUUCUCCUUCUUGCAAAGGUAGAAUUAGGGAACUUUUUGUAUCUAAGUCAGAGGAAUAUGUUGAUUCGACCGUCGGACGUCAGAAUUUCUUCUUACCCUAAGCCCCCAAACGUUAAUAACCUUUCUCGUGAGUACAUUUUUGCUCACCACCCUCAAAUGGUGGUAAUGCUCACCACCAUAUUUAUCACCGUUAAAUAAGUUUGAAUUUCGAUAUUUGUGUGGUGAUGAGAUACCAAUCGAAGUGUGGAAAGUUUUGGGAGAGACAGGUAUAACAUGGCUCACUGACCUUUUCAAUAGGAUUUUGAAAACGAAGAAGAUGCCAAAUGAGUGGCGAACAAGCACUUUAGUGCCUAUCUACAAGAAUAAGGGCGACGUACAAAAUUGCAUGAACUAUAGGGGUAUUAAGCUAAUGAGUCAUACAAUGAAGCUUUGGGAGAGAGUCAUUGAGCAUAGAUUGAGGCAAGAGACACGGGUUUCGGACAACCAAUUCGGGUUCAUGCCAGGGCGCUCAACCAUGGAGGCAAUCUAUCUCUUACGAAGAUUGAUGGAAAGAUAUAGAGAUGGGAAAAAGGAUUUACACAUGGUCUUUAUAGAUUUGGAGAAAGCGUACGAUAGGGUCCCAAGAGACAUUCUUUGGAGGAUUUUAGAGAAGAAAGGAGUACGAGUAGCAUAUAUCCAAGCUAUAAAGGAUAUGUAUGAAGGAGCAAAGACUGCCGUAAGAACUCAUGAAGGACAAACUGAAAGCUUUCCCAUAACUGUAGGAUUACAUCAAGGCUCAUCCUUAAGUCCUUACCUUUUUGCGUUGGUAAUGGAUGAGUUAAUAGGACAUAUUCAAGAUGAUAUUCCUUGGUGUAUGCUUUUCGCAGACGAUAUAUAGUGUUGAUAGAUGAAACUCAGGAAGGGGUAAAUGCAAAGCUUAACCUUUGGAAAGAAGUGUUGGAAUCUAAAGGUCUUCGCCUAAGCCGAUCAAAGACAGAAUAUAUGGAGUGCAAGUUCAGUGCAAAUGGAGGCCAAAACGAGUUAGGGGUGAGGAUCGGUGAUCAAGAAAUACCAAAGAGCGAUCGUUUUCGUUACCUAGGAUCUAUCUUGCAAAAGAACGGAGAAUUAGAUGGAGAUCUCAACCAUAGAAUACAAGCUGGAUGGAUGAAGUGGAAGAGUGCAUCCGGCGUGUUGUGUGACCGCCGUAUGCCACUGAAGCUCAAGGGAAAAUUUUAUAGGACGGCAAUAAGGCCGGCGAUGCUGUAUGGCACAGAAUGUUGGGCGGUGAAGCAUCAACACGUACACAAAAUGGGUGUAGCGGAGAUGAGGAUGCUUCGUUGGAUGUGUGGGCACACGAGAAAGGAUAAGAUUAGGAAUGAGGAUAUCCGGGGUAAAGUAGGAGUAGCCGAAAUUGAAGGAAAGAUGAGAGAAAAUCGGUUACGGUGGUUUGGACAUGUGCAAAGAAGGCCUACUGACGCUCCGAUUAGAAGAUGCGACUAUGGGACAGAGGUUCAGGGCCGAAGGGGUAGAGGAAGACCUAAGAAAACUUUGGAAGAGACUCUAAGAAAAGACUUAGAGUACUUGGAUUUAACGAAGGACAUGACACAGGACCGAGCACAAUGGCGUUCUAAGAUUCAUGUAGCCGAUCCCACUCAGUGACUUGGAUUUUUCCAAGUCUCCAACCGAGAAGUUUUCCUCACUCAGGAAAUUAAGGGAACACUACCUCAACCUACAUGCUCCACUCACAAAGCUCCAACAAAAGAAAAUUCAAAAGAACUUAGAGAAGAAGGCUUUGGUGUAUUUAACACAAUACGUUGAAAUGAAGGAAAGCUUAUUUAUUGAUAUCCCGAUAAGCUACAAAUAUGUACAUAUACAUGAGUCAAAAUAAACAAACAAGAGAGAGCCUUCACAAAGGUUGCUUAGGAGAAGUUGCAGCAGUCGGUAGAGCCCCAGAAAGAGAAGGCACCGGAGGGGGAUCAUUCGGAGCCUCAGUACUGGACAGAACCCUAGAAGGAGGAGGCAUCAGAGGUUGAUCAUUUGGAGCUUCAUUACGCGGUACAGCCCCAGAAGACGAAGGCAAUAAAUGCCUUUGGAACAAACCCACAAAUCUCUGAUGAUCAAGUAAAACCUGACCAUCAGAUUCCUUCAUCUGGUCCAGCUUCCUCUUCAUGUUUGUAGCAUAGUCAUGUGCGAGACGGUGCAACUGUUUAUUCUCAUGCUUGAGCCCUCUAAUCUCCUGUUUGAGACUCAUCACUUCAGCCGCCAAUGAUUCAACUUGGCGGGUUCGAGCAAAUAGGCGUUGGGCCAUAUUAGACACAGAACCUGCACACUGAACACUGAGAGCCAGAGAAUCCUUAACAGCUAACUCAUCAGAUCGUUUGGAAAGUAGUCUGUUAUCUUUGGGAGUGAGAAGGUUCCUGGCCACCACCGCAGCGGUCAUAUCAUUCUUCAUAACGGAAUCCCCAACGGUAAGAGGACCAGUAGGGGAGACGAAGGAUGGGCGCCAUAUGUUGUCUGGAGAAGGCGGGGCUGCCUCUUCAACAAGGUUCAAGUCAAAACGACGGUCGGAGGGGCCAGACAUUUUCAAAGGUGUUGAAGAGAGAAGAGGUCGAACAAAUCAAGAUCUUAGAAGUGUAAGAAUGGAGCUUCUACUGGGGGAGAUUCAAGUGUGCUUUGGAACUUAAUGCCAACCCCUAUAAAAAAUCUGCACUCGACGGAGCUUCAGAAAUCGAAGAGGCGCCUGCUCAGAAAUCGAAAGAGGCGUUUGCUUUCUCAAAAGCUGGGCUGCUCAGAGACCACGAGGGUCGAUCUCAGAAAAUCGAAGAGGCGUCUGCUUUCUCAAAAGUUGGGCUGCUCAAAGACCACGAAGGCCGAUCUCAGAAAUCGAAGAGGCGCUUGCUUUCUCAAAAGUUGGGCUGCUCAGAGACCACGAGGGCCGAUCUCAGAAAUCGAAGAGGCACCUACUUUUCCAGCCUUGGCAGCACCUGUCACACGCACACUCAGCUUUGCGGAAAUUAUGGGCAUUCUGUCGAAGACUUCUGGUGAAGUAGAAAGCACAUGAGUCUUACUGUUCAAUCACCCACUUCCCACACGCAAAUAGUAGCUCAUGUGUAUCACAGAUAACUUUGCCAAAGUUCUCUGCCAAAGUUGAGCACGUGAAGCUUGCAGCUUCCACUACAUCGCUCUGACCAAGACGGGUCAAAGAAUAGCAAAGAAACAGCACUAACAAAGUUUAGACACAUAAAUUUUGAAGGUCUAGCUACCCCAUAUUAUUACCCACAAGGGUAAAGGAACAGUAUCACUGCUGGAUAAUUGGAAAGUCCCUGUGUGUCAACCUCUGUGUUUCGUGGCAAGGUAGACUAGCAAACAUGCCCAACCUUUACUCACAUUCGAGAAAACACUCCCAACAAGAUUGCUUGCUCCAAAAUCGAAGAGGCACCGUCCUCCGAAUCUCGAGAGCCAGACUCCCAACAUGACUACUUUCUCAAAAAUCGAAGAGAGGGUAAAGGAACAGUACCAUUGCUGGAUAAUUGGAAAGUCCCUGUGUGUCAACCUCUGUGCUUCGUGGCAAGGUAGACUAGCAAACAUGCCCAACCUUUACUCACAUUCGAGAAAACACUCCCAACAAGAUUGCUUGCUCCAAAAUCGAAGAGGCACCGCCCUCCGAAUCUCGAG
rnacentral:lncRNA from 1 species